rnacentral:sRNA from 1 species
UGUGUUUUUUCCCUGGAGAGCAAAGCUUUGGCUGUUAGUGGAAUGCACUAGAUAAAUCUUGGUUACAUCUGGAUUGAAACUGAAUGUUUGAUGACAUUUUGUUCUCCUCUUUUUAAGACAAUGAUCUUAGAGGACAGAGAACAUAGCUCACACAUCUUUGCACGUCCCUGACCGUGAAAAAGGGGUUACACUUGGAGGCCACCCUGCUACUUCCAGCAUUGCUAGCGGUGGGAAAGCCAUUCAUUGUCUGACGAAGUCCCUCAUCCAUUUCAAGCUACCUUGAGGCAAACCAGUCUCCUCCGUGUGCUAGCAGUGAGGUCUUGGGCCAAGGAGAAAGAAAAGAAAUCGCACGACUUAACCAUGAGGGACAGCAUCAGACUAGAAACUGAUCAAAGAAGCAGACCGAUGUGCAGCCAAGAGGAAGCAGAAGAAGCAUGGUGUCAUCGUAUCACAGAAGCCAAGAGAGGAAGAAGGGACGAAACGUGUUCAGCACGGAAAGAAGUUGCAUAAACCAUCUUAAUGAGAGAAGUCGAUCUCGCAUGGCUAUGACUUGGUUCCCCUUUGUUCGUGGCACACACAGAAACAUGGAGUGUCCUUACUAAAAGCUAUCCAGCAAUGCCCUCCAGAAGUCCCCUGUCUGAUGUCGAUCCACAAACCGCCUGACAUUUUCACAUUCCACCCUCAACAAUUUCAUGAACAGGUAAGCCUUAUUUGUAGCAUUAUGUCGAUUUUAAUGGC